rnacentral:lncRNA from 1 species
CUCAGCUGUAAGUUCCUGGGGAAUAGGGAGUGGUGCUUGGCACUGCACCCCCUGAUGCCAUGGAAGGCGCACAGUCUGUGCCCCAGCAGGAUUUAUUCAGUGAGCAAGUCUGGAAAGGGCUGCUCCAGAAGGAGGGUGAAGGCUGGGCUGCACAGAGCCUGCACCUUCUUUGUAUUUUUACAUUGGGCUUCUCUGACUGCCCCUAAAAUAAAAAUGGGGAUAAUCCAUUUUCCUGUGAGAGAAAUGAAAACCCACGAAGACUAAAUGUCCUGCCCGCUGUCCAGGUGCAGUGAGGGGCGUGGCCGGGACCAGAAUCCCUGCUUCCCUGUUCUCUAGUCAGUGCUGCUGCUGGAAACCAGAGUCUUCUUUUGUUUUCCCUCUCACCUCUGGCUGCCUCUCUCUCCCCUCAAAGGUCAGAGCAGUGCCAAGGACAGAAGAGAGAGUAGAUCCAGCCUUGGCCCUGCUAGGCUGGGCAGCCUGGCAGGUAGAGUCAGCAGGGAUAGAGCUUGCUUUCCUGUUCACGAUCUUCAGCCAAGUUCAGGGAGGUCUGAAUACUGAGGCCUUCAUAGCCACUGCACCCCAGGUAGCUCAGGAGAACCUCCGAGCGCAGGAGUGCAAAGGCUGGCAUUCUUCAGGCUCUGAGGCUGUCCCUUCCGGUGGAGGUGAACUGCUUCUUAUUGAUGUGGACAAGACUGUGGCAGGAGAAUGCUUCCCAGAUGUGUAGGAUUAAUGGUGAAUAUUACACAGCACCCCCUGGACAGAGAUGGGUCCUGGGUGACUCCAGGCCCUAAAAACCUUUCUCCAGCGUGGACUAGCGGGGAGCUCCAGUCCCCACCUGAGAGUUGAAGGAGCAUCCCCUCCCUGCUUUGCGAUGGCUCCAGAGACAAGACGUGUGCCCUGCCCCCACCCCACAUUGUCUACUUUGAUUUACAGCACAGCCAUCACAGGGGGACCUUUUUGGUUAACAUUUACAAAAGUGCUUUCUGUCUGGUUUCUAGAUGGAGACUGACAGGAUCCUGGCUUGGGGGCCUUCCGGCAGGGCUGGCUGCUGGGCUGGCAGGCUCUGGCGCUCCCCUUCCCCAGAACUGACUUUGUUCCUGGCAGCCAUGGUGGCUGCACUAACCACAUUCUGCCUCCACCUUUGCACUAAGAAAAGCAAAUAAGCAGACCACAGAACUGUUUGCAUUUGCCCCAGAUGCUCCCUGGCUGCGGGAAGAGGUCAGUAGGGAGCAUGCAGGGAGAGGGGAAGGGAGACCAGCUUCUGCAGGGAGGGCACGCUGGAAUCUAGGCUUGGGGAGGGACGAAGGGAAGGCUUGUCCAGCCCAGCACAAGCCUGCGGAGGGGCACUGUGGGCACAGUGCAUGAAGUCUGAAGAGGUGAUGUGCUAGAUACCCCAAUCCCUGGCAUAUUCUGCAUUUCAAAACAGAGAAUAAGUAGUCUUGCCACUAUAAAGUGGCAAGAGCUGUUCCUUAGCAAGAGAAAGAGAAACAGAGACAGAGAGAAACAGACACAGAGAGACAGAGACGGAGACAGAAAAAUACACAGAGAAAUGGAGAGACAGAGAGAGAGACAUACAGAGAGACAAAGGCGUAAAGAGGCCCCCCGCACCCUAGGGAUAUGUUGUCAAGGGUGGCUUUUUUGUUAUGAAGAUUGCAGCCUAUUUUGCACGGCUGGCCGGCCUGGGGCUCCUGCCGUCAUUGCUGCCCCAGGGAAGGCUGCUCGCUGGCUUACUCCCAUCCCCUUGCCACUGGCAGCAAAACCAAGCUGGGUUAUGACAUCAGCGACUUUUCCCCUUCUCAGCCCCAGGGUAGAUGGGCCAGGUUGGAAAGCAGCAGGAAACUUUUCCAACACUAACAAACAAUGAGCUCAGGUAGCAAGCCCUGAUAUUAGAAAACGGGAGGGACCCUUAGGGGUUUCACUCAGCCUGAAAGGGAGCCAUGUCUUUCCCAGAGCCAAGUCCCAGUCCCUUUUCAGGGCAGCCAGCCAAGCUGGGAGAUUGGGAGCUGGAAAGAUGUCCCCUGAAAUACAGGUUUGGUGACUCUAACCGUGAAUGGCCCCGAUUCACAGGGGAGGGUUGCUGUUCCUUUGCCAUCCUUUGCCUAUUUGCAGCACUUGCUGAAAGAUAGAAAGAAACACCGAGACAGGAGCUUGGGCUGUAUAGGCAGGGGACAAAUGAAAUGUUUUCCUACUGUGUAAAAAGUUCAAGUGUUCCCAUAUAUGCAGAGCUUGGAACAAUGUCAUCAACUCCUCUUCGUUUUUUUCCAAACAACCUCCUUUAAGACACAGCAAACAGCAGUGCUGCGGAGGUAUGUCUAAUUGCAGAUACUUUUUGUUCAUCAUCGUAUUGAACGUCGUUGCGUGUUCCAGCAGCCAUCAACUUCCUCAGGAGGAAAAUUCAAUUGUGCACUGAGCGACAGCGUGAAGAGACCGGGCCAAGCAGGCAGGGUGCUGCAGGUCAACAAGGUGCUGCUGUGCUCCUGAAGCCUUCAGGAGCCUCAGCCUGAGAGCUCAGGAAAGGGUGGGGCUCCAACCCACCUGGCUUUCCGCCUUACUGAGCUCCAAACACAGGCUUGUUCCACAUCACGGAGAGCCCUUAUCCUGCAUGUGCGUCUCGCUCCCUGACAAGCCUAUUUGUGCCUUGUCACCAGAAAUGUACCUUUUUUCUUCUCUCAUCUGUCCCUGACACCCCCAGCUUAUCUAGCCUGAAGAGAGGCUAUCAAAAUGGUAAUAGCCAGAUGGAAAACAAGGAAAAAUAAGCCCUUUCCCAUAAGGAAGCAAUACGGAUUUUGGAACCGGAGAAAUUUCUACUAUUCUCCCAACAUCAUUCCCUCCGCCUUGGGUGUGCUUCCGAGAGGGUUGGAGGUGUCACCUGCCGUACCCUAGGACUGGCUGAGGGAAAACACACCUGAAGAUUUCCUGUAAAUGAAAAAGUGAAUCACUAAAAGGGGGAGCUGUCAUCCCCUGGCAUUUCUCUGUGCACAGGCGACCUAGUGUUGGGAUGGCAGCAGAACCCAGACAACUGAGCCAACACGUGGAGGGAAGCCCUCACUAGCCUGCAUUCGACUUGUGUGAGAGAGAAGUGAACGUUUACGUGCAAAGCCACUGAGCUUUUGUUGUUGUUCCUGCAGCACAGGGCAUUCUAACCUGCCUAAUACUGAAACGAGUACUGUUAGGCUUGAUCUGUGAAGAGGAGAACAUAAAAGGCCUGCAUAUUCUCUUUUAGGUCCUAAAAAUGCAGUGCUCUCUUCUUGGCCUUGCUGUGACCAGGCUGUUUAAAAUCUGUCACCCCGCCAGUCGCCACUGUAUUAUCUUGCUUUAUUUUUCUUCAUAGUAUUUAUUGAUAAUUUAUGUGCUUAUUAUGUCUCCCUGACUGGAAUGUAAGUUUCAUGAAGGCCAGGACUUGUGCCUUAAAACAGGGCCUGGCACAGAGUAGGCACUUAAUGUGUAUUUUUGAAAGUGAAUUGUGGGCUGAAAAUUCUGAUUUUUCAAAAAAGUUAAUAAAGGUGAAGGCCUUCCUUGCCUUUAUUAAAUGCUUAAAAUGGAUCAGUGGUGGGGUAGAGAUGGAAGGAGUCACACACAUACUGUACCUUCAACGGGUUUCAAUCUAACUGGGAGACAAAAUAUAGAAACAUGAAACAAGCAGAGAGCAAAUCUCUAGGUACCUAAGAGUUAAUUAAGUACUAAGGGUGUACUUAAAUUUGUGAGGGAGGAAGGGGAAGAGGACUGUCCAGAGGUAUGGCUAACUACCAAAAACUCUCUGGAGCAGACAGCUUUGGCAGCAGACUGAGAGCAGGGUUCUCCAAUUUGAGCUUGCAGAAGAAUCACCUGGAAGGCUUCUAAAACCUAUACUAUUGGCCCCACCCCCAGAGUUUCUGAUUCACUAGAUCUGGAUUAUACCUGGGGAUCUUUUUUUUUUUAGACAGAGUCUUGCUCUGUUACCCAGGCUGGAGUGCAGUGGCACUAUCAUAGCUCACUGCAACCUCGAACUCCCCGGUUCAAGGGAUCCUCCCACCUCAGCCUCCCCAGUAACUGGGAUUUCAGGCAUGUGCCACCAAGCCCGGCUAAUUUUUUUUUUUUUUUUUUUGAGAUGGAGUUUCAUUCUUGUUGCCCAGGCUGGAGUGCAAUGGUGCAAUCUCAGCUCACUGCAAUCUCUGCCUCCUGGGUUCAAGUGAUUCUCCAGCCUUGCCUCCUGAGUAGCUAGGAUUACAGGCAUGUGCCACCACGCCCAGCUAAUUUUGUAUUUUUAGUAGAGAUGGGGUCUCACCGUGUUGGCCAGGCUGGUCUUGCACUCCUGACCUCAGGUGAUCCACCCACCUCAGCCUCCCAAAGUGCUGGGAUUACAGGUGCCCACUGCCGUGCCCAGCUUAAUUUCAGUAUUUUUAGUAGAGAUAGGGUUUCUCUAUGUUGGCCAGGCUAGUCUCAAACUCCUGACCUCAGGCGAUCCACCCACCUUGGCCUCCCAAAGUGCUGGGAUUACAGGCCUGAGCCACCACACCUGGCCUCACCUGUAUUUUAAAUUGAGUUUUACUGGGUAACAGCCAUGGUCAUUCAUUUACAUAUUGUCAAAGGCUGCUUUCAAGCUACAACAGCAGAAUUUAACAGUCUCAAGACCAUAUGGCCUGCAAAGCCUAAAAUAUUUACUGGCCCUUUACAGAUAAAGUUUGCUGACCCCUAGAGAGGAAGUCAUGGCCCAUGGCUGGCAGAUGGAAGCCUCAGGACCUGAAGAUUUCUCAAAGAAAGGGACCUGCUGCUGACAGCAAUUAAUAUAUGUUCACAGCUUGCAGCUGAAGCCUGAUGAUGGCUGUAGGAGAAAGGACAUCACCCAGAUGACAUUUUGCCUCCAAAGCUCUGGGGACCAAUUGUGGAAGAACUGCAGGGAUAUUAUGUUAGAAUGUUCUUGUGUCUGGAUAGGAUGAGAACUGUCUUAUAACAAAGUGCAGCCCCCAUGUCUGAGGGCAUGUUUCCUGUGUUUAGGCACUUCCGAAGCAGGGAGCACCUUCAAGGGGCACUGGCCUUCCCAGAAACAGUGUUUGACCUGUGAUGAUGUCCUGGGGGAGGGGACCUAGGAAAAGACCUUAGCCUUUCCAUAAGGCACGAUUAUUCUCCUCUAUAGAGCCUCAAAAGUCAAGUCAAGUAGCAAGCACACUGUGCUCCAGUCUGUGGCCACAGACACACACAAGGACUGGAGCAAAACCAAACAUAGUGUAUCAUCACCGCUGAACCCCCAGGAGCCCCCAGAUGCUUUUGAACGUGAAAGGAGAAAGAAGCUGUCAGAGAUCAGGUUGAAUGUGGUGGGUUAGGUGUGCGGCAUUGCCUCUGGGUCCCUGCUUUGGUUUAAUUAAACUAAGUCUGGUGGUGAAUUGGUUCCCAAAUGUUCAUUGGUGGAUGGGCGGCAUCAGAAUUGUCUACAUCUUUUAAAAAACACGUACGCAAAACCUAUGCAUGUCUUCCUCUGAGAGUUUGAUUUUCAGCAGGCUUGGGGUGGAUUCCUACUUUUAAGAACUCCCCACGCCCGUCCUAAGUGAUUGUGAUUCCCAGUAAGUGAAUGCUGACAAAUUGAACCUUCCAGCAUGGACAUUUAUUUAUGAAAUAAAUGGACAUUAAUUUCACAGUCUUUCUAUGGAUUCGAGGUGGUGCUGGAUCCACAGGCUCACCUGGCCCCCUAGCUUUCUCUGCAGAAUCUGCCAGUGUGCCUUCAAUCCCAAAAGAAGUCGCUUUUCAUGUGCUGCUGGAGCUUUUGAUUGGCGGUGACUGAGAUGGGACUUUAAGUUCUCACCAGGAUGCAAAGUGGGGUUCCAACUUUACUGCUUUCUGAACCCUGCUGAUCUGUCCCCAACCAAGGCUUGAUUUUCUUCUGAAGCGCAGUAUUUUUAAACUGUGGUUGAAAUCUAUUCAUGGGCUAUAAAAUCAGUUGUUGAGGAUGUAACCAUUUUGAAUUAAUUUUUAAUUCAAAAAAUUAGACUAGAAAUUUUUAAUUUUAAUUCAAAAAAUAGACUAGAAAAAAAUCAGAGUGCAUCAUGUAUGGUAGGGAUAAGUGUAAUUCUUUCUGUAAAACUUGUUUUGGAGGGUAUGUUGUGCAUUGGGCUUCUGUGUAUUUCUUACUACGUUUCACAGGGAAACUGCUGUCAUCUCUGCAGUACAAUAUAGAUCAACAAUGGCCCUAACUUCCCUAAGACAGCUCUCAUGUCUGCUUGCAGAGAACAGAUGGAAAAAGUCACCAGGGAGGGUAGAUUGCCAUAUACAAGUACUUCAGGGAGGCUACCUGGAAACUAAUAGAAAACCAGUUUAUGGAUGAUUGCAGAGCCUGGGGAGAGAAAUCAAUCUUGGACAGUUUUAUGGAUGGCAGCCAACAGCCUACCAUGCUCAGCCCAUCGCACCUGUCACCUGGGGACAAGCAGGGUCUAUCUGGAACGGACUCUGGCCAGGAUUCAGUUUCUCUUUCCUCGAAAUGGGGAUAAUCACCCUCUUGACUAUUGCUGUUAUGGGAAAGGCCAAAUUAGGGGAAAAAAAUUCUGUCCAAUAAGGGAUGAACCACAAAGCUCAGGCCAGUAAUGGCCUCUAUUGGUGGUUUGGGAGGUAUGCUUGUAUGGGCAUUAAGGGAGAAAGAGAAGGUCUGCACUCUAAUCAAGUCUAGGCAAUGUGGGAGUUGGAAAGAGACACAUGGGAACACAGACCCAGUCACCUGAAGGCAAGAGCCUUUCUUUUUCCUCCUCUUGGCAGGCAGCGUGGGCUCCCGGGCCCCAAGCAGGAUCCCUUAGGGCUGAUCUCUUACCACACACUGGUCUGACUUGGUGACCUGGAAGAGGACAGUCAGAGCCAACAGGAUGAGGGGACCAGCUUGGAGAGCAUCUAUUGUAUGCCACCCUUGAGUGGCUGGAAAUGUCUUCUGCCACUUUGCAAGGGGCUGGGGGCUGGGGAGUGGGAGUGGCAAGGGAACACGGGGUGGUAGAUUGUUCCCAGGGCUGCUGGUUUUGGAGCAGUCUGACUACCCUCUCUUCUUAGUGGGAAAGAAAGGAGGAAGAAGGGGGAAGGGAUGCUUUUGGAGGGGAGCUCUAAGGGUGGGAGAAAAGAAAGCCUGAAAGAACAUCACUAAAGGGUCUGAAGUUAAAGACUCCAAUGAACAAGAAGCCCCUAAUUCAAACAGUGCCACUAACACCAAAACCUGUAAAGUGGUCCAGAGAGACCCUGGUCAUGUCUGUAACUUUCCUUUUUAAAGCUCUCGUGAAGUUAAUGAAUGAAAAAAUUGCUAAUGCAAAGAUGGAAAUUAAUAAAAACAAAAGCGUGCUUCAUAUUGCAGGGUGACCACCUCUAAUCCUACCAGUGAUCCUGUGGCUGUCCCUGUAACUUCCUUUGGCAACACCAUGCUUUGAGAAGCUGUGGGGAAGGCUGGCCAGGGAGAGAGCCUCACCCCCCAAUUCUGCCAGCUGAUCCCCCAGAGGGCUGCAAGGCUCCUGAUUUACCCAGACCUCUGGAGUGGCUGAGGCUGGGCUCUGGGGUUGGAUGGUUCUCACCAAGAGGCCUGGGACAUCUGCUCUGUGCUAAGCUCCGAGGCAGACCACAGAGGAGAUAAUGACUAAUCGGACCUUCACAUACAUUGUACAUGCCUUUUCUGAACUGAAAAAGAGAAGAACAAACAAGAUAAAAAUAUUGAAAAAAAAGAAGAAUCAAAUGUGUAGAAAAUGCAAGGUCAUUAGAACUGCCCAGGGCUUCAUUCAGGCAAAGAUCUUGAGGGUCUGGCCAGGGACCUGCUGAGUAAAUCUAGCUCUGGUUCCCCUCCCACAGAUUCCCUGCGCCUCCUCCAACUGCAUAACCAAAUCUCCCCACCUCCCAACUUUCCUUGAGCUAUUCUGCUGUUUUCUUCACUUUAGUUUUCUCACUGUAACCC